AAACGGCAGCAAAAGCAACGGAUCUUCCGUCGGCGGCAGCUAUCUUUUCCUCCGUGUUCUUUCAUCGGCAGAUCCAAGAACUGCCCAAACUGCUACGUGACCAAGACUAGACUCUGAAACAUCUGCGUUUUGGAUGUAGGCACCAAGCCCUCAGGUCAGGUAUAGACAUCACUGAAGACAUGCGGCUGUUGGCUUCUUGGAUAAGCAUUGGCAUACUUCUCUACGAAUGGAACUAAAGGCCGGCAGCUCCCAAUGCCGAAGACAGAAAAGUCAUCAAACUGUCCAUCCAGUUACUACCCCCCCCCCCCGCAACAAAAGACAAUCAAACUCGGGAUCAACGGGCAAUCACGCAAAAUGAUAGAAUGAAGGAUUACUGAAUAUUAAACCACUCCCUUUCCUGAGGA